CCUACGGGUGGCUGCAGUGGGGAAUAUUGGGCAAUGGGCACAAGCCUGACCCAGCAACGCCGCGUGAAGGAAGAAGGCUUUCGGGUUGUAAACUUCUUUUCUUAGGGACGAAGAAAGUGACGGUACCUCAGGAAUAAGCCACGGCUAACUACGUGCCAGCAGCCGCUGUAAUACGUAGGUGGCAAUCGUUAUGCGGAUUUAUUGGGUGUAAAGGGGGGGUAGGCGGGAAAGCAAGUCAGAUGUGAAAACUCAGGGCUCAACCCCGGGCCUGCAUUUGAAACUGUUGUGCUUGAGUGCUGGAGAGGCAAUCGGAAUUCGUGGUGUAGCGGUGAAAUGCGUAGAUAUACGGAGGAACACCAGUGGCGAAGGCGGAUUGCUGGACAGUAACUGACGCUGAGGCGCGAAAGCGUGGGGAGCGAACAGGAUUAGAUACCCUGGUAGUC
rnacentral:rRNA from 1 species